AUACGGAGGAUGCAAGCGUUAUUCGGAAUCACUGGGCGUAAAGGACGCGUAGGCGGGUUGGCAAGACAGAUGUGAAAUCCUACAGCUUAACUGUAGAACUGCAUUUGAAACUGCUAACCUAGAGUAUGGGAGGGGGAGAUGGAAUUAGUGGUGUAGGGGUAAAAUCCGUAGAUAUCACUAAGAAUACCGAAAGUGAAGUCGAUCUCCUGGAACAUAACUGACGCUAAGGCGUGAAAGCGUGGGGAGCAAACAGGAUUAGAAACCCUAGUAGUCC
rnacentral:rRNA from 1 species